GAAAUGCGAUAAGUAGUGUGAAUUGCAGAAUUCAGUGAAUCAUCGAAUCUUUGAACGCACAUUGCGCCCUUUGGUAUUCCUUAGGGCAUGCCUGUUCGAGCGUCAUCUAAACCUUCAAGCCCUGCUUGGUGUUGGGUGCCUGUCCCGCCUCCGCGCGCGGACUCACCUCAAAUCCAUUGGCGGCCCCCGCGUCGGCCACGAGCGCAGCAGAAACGCGAACUCGUGAGCCCGUCCGGGCGGCUCCCAGAAGCUACACCCACCCAGUUUGACCUCGGAUCAGGUAGGGAUACCCGCUGAACUUCAGC
rnacentral:misc_RNA from 1 species